CAGGUCACAUUUCUAUUGUUUUAUAAUUACACAAAGAUGGUUUUUGCCUUGACACACUGCCUUGUAUCGCCAGUACAGUGAGAGUCCUAGUGGGCCUCCGUAGUCUCCCGCCCCCUCUAAUGUAUCAAUUUUUCAUAUUCAUAUUUCGCUGUGCCCUUCACCUCUUCCCUGUCUCUGUCACUUUGGGGAAGAGGAGUUGGGGGAAGGAGAACCUACUGCCUGCUUCACUGUAUUGUCCCUAUUGUUUUGCAGAGAGAAUAAAAGCCCGCGAAUACAUCGUCA